rnacentral:rRNA from 1 species
AAAUUGAAGAGUUUGAUCAUGGCUCAGAUUGAACGCUGGCGGCAGGCCUAACACAUGCAAGUCGAACGGUAGCACAGAGAGCUUGCUCUCGGGUGACGAGUGGCGGACGGGUGAGUAAUGUCUGGGAAACUGCCCGAUGGAGGGGGAUAACUACUGGAAACGGUAGCUAAUACCGCAUAAUGUCGCAAGACCAAAGUGGGGGACCUUCGGGCCUCACACCAUCGGAUGUGCCCAGAUGGGAUUAGCUUGUUGGUGGGGUAACGGCUCACCAAGGCGACGAUCCCUAGCUGGUCUGAGAGGAUGACCAGCCACACUGGAACUGAGACACGGUCCAGACUCCUACGGGAGGCAGCAGUGGGGAAUAUUGCACAAUGGGCGCAAGCCUGAUGCAGCCAUGCCGCGUGUAUGAAGAAGGCCUUCGGGUUGUAAAGUACUUUCAGCGGGGAGGAAGGCGUUGUGGUUAAUAACUGCAGCGAUUGACGUUACCCGCAGAAGAAGCACCGGCUAACUCCGUGCCAGCAGCCGCGGUAAUACGGAGGGUGCAAGCGUUAAUCGGAAUUACUGGGCGUAAAGCGCACGCAGGCGGUUUGUUAAGUCAGAUGUGAAAUCCCCGGGCUCAACCUGGGAACUGCAUUUGAAACUGGCAAGCUUGAGUCUCGUAGAGGGGGGUAGAAUUCCAGGUGUAGCGGUGAAAUGCGUAGAGAUCUGGAGGAAUACCGGUGGCGAAGGCGGCCCCCUGGACGAAGACUGACGCUCAGGUGCGAAAGCGUGGGGAGCAAACAGGAUUAGAUACCCUGGUAGUCCACGCCGUAAACGAUGUCUAUUUGGAGGUUGUGCCCUUGAGGCGUGGCUUCCGGAGCUAACGCGUUAAAUAGACCGCCUGGGGAGUACGGCCGCAAGGUUAAAACUCAAAUGAAUUGACGGGGGCCCGCACAAGCGGUGGAGCAUGUGGUUUAAUUCGAUGCAACGCGAAGAACCUUACCUGGUCUUGACAUCCACGGAAUUUGGCAGAGAUGCCUUAGUGCCUUCGGGAACCGUGAGACAGGUGCUGCAUGGCUGUCGUCAGCUCGUGUUGUGAAAUGUUGGGUUAAGUCCCGCAACGAGCGCAACCCUUAUCCUUUGUUGCCAGCGAUUAGG